GACGAACGCUGGCGGCGUGCUUAACACAUGCAAGUCGAACGGAAAGGCCCUGCUUUUGUUGGGUGCUCGAGUGGCGAACGGGUGAGUAACACGUGAGUAACCUGCCCUUGACUUUGGGAUAACUUCAGGAAACUGGGGCUAAUACCGGAUAGGAGCUCCUGCUGCAUGGUGGGGGUUGGAAAGUUUCGGCGGUUGGGGAUGGACUCGCGGCUUAUCAGCUUGUUGGUGGGGUAGUGGCUUACCAAGGCUUUGACGGGUAGCCGGCCUGAGAGGGUGACCGGCCACAUUGGGACUGAGAUACGGCCCAGACUCCUACGGGAGGCAGCAGUGGGGAAUAUUGCACGAUGGGCGGAAGCCUGAUGCAGCAACGCCGCGUGCGGGAUGACGGCCUUCGGGUUGUAAACCGCUUUCGCCUGUGACGAAGCGUGAGUGACGGUAAUGGGUAAAGAAGCACCGGCUAACUACGUG
rnacentral:rRNA from 1 species